UGACGUGGAUGCUAGUUCCUGAGGUUAAGCCAUGCAUGUUUAUGGAACAAGGACGAACAGCUCAGUAAAACUGCGAUGAUUUAGUCUGUGUGUUUUGAUAACCACGUGAAAAUGUGGCUAAGAGAGCACAGAAUAAGACGCAGGACUAUCGGUUAGUUGGUAGUGUAAUGGACUACCAAGACGAUGACGGUUGACGGGGAAUCAGGGUUCUAUACCGGAGAGGGAGCCUGAGAGAUUGCUCCCACGUCCAAGGACGGCAGCAGGCGCGAAAAUUGCCCACUGUUUGUAGGAGGCAGUUAUGAGACGUGAAAAUGAAUGCUUGGCAAAGAGAAGCAGGAGAAUUGGAGGGCAAGUUUGGUGCCAGCAGCCGCGGUAAUACCGACUCCAAGAGUGUGUAUGAGAGAUGCUGCAGUUAAAAAGUCCGUAGUCGUAGGUAGUGAAAGAGAGGCGGAGCCUCGUGCGUUUGUUUUGGAGGAGCCAAUGGGGAACACAGUAUACCAGGGCGAGAGAUGAAAUGUCAAGACCCCUGGUGGACUAGGCGAGGCGAAAGCGGUGUUCUUGUGGGUGUUCGGUGAUCAAGGACGAAGGCUGGAGGAUCGAAAGUGAU
rnacentral:rRNA from 1 species